CCUGGUUGAUCCUGCCAGUAGUCAUAUGCUUGUCUCAAAGAUUAAGCCAUGCAUGUCUAAGUACGAGCCUCGGUACACGGUGAAACUGCGAAUGGCUCAUUAAAUCAGUUAUGGUUCCUUUGAUCGUUACCCCUUACUUGGAUAACUGUGGCAAUUCUAGAGCUAAUACAUGCCUACCUCGGCGCUGACCUCGCGGGAUGCGUGCUUUUAUUAGGACCAAGACCGACCCGGUGUCCUGCCUCCUUCGCGGGUGGUGGGCCCGGUCCUCCUGGCGAACUCUGGAUAACUUGGCGGAUCGCACGGCCUCUGCGCCGGCGACGAAUCUUUCGAGUGUCUGCCCUAUCAACUUUCGACGGUACGUUAUGCGCCUACCGUGGUGGCAACGGGUAACGGGGAAUCAGGGUUCGAUUCCGGAGAGGGAGCCUGAGAAACGGCUACCACAUCCAAGGAAGGCAGCAGGCGCGCAAAUUACCCAUUCCCGACACGGGGAGGUAGUGACGAAAAAUAACGAUACGGGACUCUUUGGAGGCCCCGUAAUCGGAAUGAGCACAGUCCAAAUCCUUUAGCGAGGAUCCAUUGGAGGGCAAGUCUGGUGCCAGCAGCCGCGGUAAUUCCAGCUCCAAUAGCGUAUAUUAAAGCUGCUGCAGUUAAAAAGCUCGUAGUUGGAUCUUGGUCCGCGGGCGGGCGGAAGUUCUCCGUACGAGUGGGUCUUCGCUGCCCGUCCCGGACUCUCCUCCGGUCCUCUCCCGGUGCUCUUGGUUGAGUGUCGGGGGCGGCCGGAACGUUUACUUUGAAGAAAUUAGAGUGUUCAAAGCAGGCCGCCACGCCUGGAUAGUCCAGCAUGGAAUAAUGGAAUAGGACCUCGGUCCCAUUGCGUUGGUCUUAGGAACGCGAGGUAAUGAUCGAGAGGGACUGACGGGGGCAUUCGUAUUGCGGCGUUAGAGGUGAAAUUCUUGGAUCGUCGCAAGACGGACGACUGCGAAAGCAUUUGCCAAGAAUGUUUUCAUUGAUCAAGAACGAAAGUCGGAGGUUCGAAGACGAUCAGAUACCGUCCUAGUUCCGACCGUAAACGAUGCCGACUGGCGAUCUGCCGGCGUUACUCUCUAGACCCGGCGGGCAGCCUCCGGGAAACCAAAGUCUUUGGGUUCCGGGGGAAGUAUGGUUGCAAAGCUGAAACUUAAAGGAAUUGACGGAAGGGCACCACCAGGAGUGGAGCCUGCGGCUUAAUUUGACUCAACACGGGAAAACUCACCCGGCCCGGACACGGCGAGGAUUGACAGAUUGAGAGCUCUUUCUUGAUUUCGUGGGUGGUGGUGCAUGGCCGUUCUUAGUUGGUGGAGCGAUUUGUCAGGUUGAUUCCGAUAACGAACGAGACUCUGGCUUGCUAAAUAGUCGUGCGACCCUUAACGUGUCGGCGACCGACUUCUUAGAGGGACAAGC
rnacentral:rRNA from 1 species